GAUGAACGCUUGCGGCAGGCUUAAUACAUGCAAGUCGAACGGUAACAGGGUCUUCGGACUGCUGACGAGUGGCGGAUGGGUGAGUAACGCGUAUGCAACCUUCCUCACACCGAGAAAAAGUCGACUGAAAAGUUGAAUAAAGUCUCGUGGUGUGCAUUUCUCGCAUGAGAGAUGUAUGAUAGAAGCAAUUUGGUGUGAGAUGGGCAUGCGUAUCAUUAGCUAGUUGGUAAGGUAACGGCUUACCAAGGCUACGAUGAUUAGGGGGCCUGAGAGGGUGGUCCCCCACACUGGGACUGAGACACAGCCCAGACUCCUACGGGAGGCAGCAGUAGGGAAUAUUGGUCAAUGGGCGGAAGCCUGAACCAGCCAUGCCGCGUGAUGGAUGACGGCCUUAGGGUUGUAAACAUCUUUUCUGCUAGAGGAAUAGAGUUCACGUGUGGACAGACGACUGUAUAGCAGGAAUAAGGAUCGGCUAACUCCGUGCCAGCAGCCGCGGUAAUACGGAGGAUUCGAGCGUUAUCCGGAUUUACUGGGUUUAAAGGGUGCGCAGGCGGGCUCUUAAGUCAGCGGUGAAAUGUCUGGGCUUACCCUAGGAAUUGCCGUUGAUACUGGGAGUCUUGGAUAAGCAUAAGGACGGCGGAAUGCGUAGUGUAGCGGUGAAAUGCUUAGAUAUUACGUAGAAGACCAAUUGCGAAGGCAGCUGUCUGUGUCUUUAUCGACGCUCAAGCACGAAAGCGUGGGGAGCAAACAGG
rnacentral:rRNA from 1 species